ensembl:scaRNA
UGGAUGCUUAAGGGUUUUUUUUACAGUUUCUCCUGUAUAUGGUGAUAACUGAACAAAAGUAUCCUACAGUAACACAGAAGCUAUCUGUUCAACCCUGAUAAGUUAAAAGGGUUUGGAUCGUUCCACUUCUGACAGCU